CAGCCCUAAACGAUGCGCGUUAGGUGUAUCGGUGACCACGAGUCACCGAGGUGCCGAAGGGAAACCGUGAAACGUGCCGCCUGGGAAGUACGGUCGCAAGGCUGAAACUUAAAGGAAUUGGCGGGGGAGCACCACAACGGGUGGGAGCCUGCGGUUUAAUUGGACUCAACGCCGGGAAGCUCACCGGAUAAGACAGCGGAAUGAUUGCCGGGCUGAAGACCCUGCAUGACCAGCUGAGAGGAGGUGCAUGGCGUAGUCGUCU
rnacentral:rRNA from 1 species